UUUUUUUAGGUUAAUAUUUUUAAUUUUUAAAUAAAAGUUUUAUUUUAGCUUAAUAUUUUAGUUAAUUUUUUUUAUAUAUGUUAAUUUUUUUUAUAUAUAUUUAUUGCAGUAUUUAUUUUUAAAAAUUUAGUUAUUUAAGAUUUAGAAAUUAAUUUUAGUUUUAAUAAAUUUUGUGCCAGCAAUUGCGGUUAUACAAAUAAAUGCAAUUAAAAUUUUUUGGUUAGUAAUUAAUUUUGAUAUUAAUAAUGAUUUUAUUUUUUUAUUUAAAGGUGAAAUUUAAAUUUUUAUUUUGUUUUUAUUAUUUAAUUUUAGGUUAUUGAAUUUAAGUUAAAAACUAGGAUUAGAUACCCUAUUAUUUUAAUUAUAUUUUUUUUACCUGAUUAUUAAUAGAUGUGUUCUUUAAAAUUAAAAAAUUUGGCGGUAUUUUAGUCUAUUCAGAGGAACCUGUUCUUUAAUUGAUAAUUCACGAUUUGAUUAACUUUUUUUUAUGCUUGUAUAUCGUUGUUUAUUUGAAGAUUUUAUAAGAAUUUUAAAUUUUCUAUUUUUAUUUAAAUAAUUAAUUUCAGAUCAAGGUGCAGCUUAUAAUAAAGUAGAAAUGGGUUACAUUAAAUUUAUUUAUGAUUUUUUUAUUUUAAUAUAAAAAUUAAAUUGGAUUUGAAAGUAAUAUUUUUAAAUUAAUAAUUAUGAUUUUAGCUCUAUAAUAUGCACAUAUUGCCCGUCGCUUUCAAUUAAAUUGAAAUAAGUCGUAACAAAGUAGAUGUACUGGAAAGUGUAUCUAGAAAGAU
rnacentral:ncRNA from 1 species